GACAGAGGGUGCAAACGUUGUUCGGAAUUACUGGGCGUAAAGCGAGUGUAGGCGGUCUCAUAAGUCGGGUGUGAAAGCCCCGGGCUCAACCCGGGAAGUGCACUCGAAACUGCGAGGCUAGAGUAUCGGAGAGGUUGGUGGAAUUCUCGGUGUAGAGGUGAAAUUCGUAGAUAUCGAGAGGAACACCGGUGGCGAAGGCGGCCAACUGGACGAAUACUGACGCUGAGACUCGAAAGCGUGGGGAGCAAACAGG
rnacentral:rRNA from 1 species